UUUCAAAGAAAUUCAUGAUGACCAGAAAGAAGGGUUAAGAUCCUCUCCGGAUCUUAUCAGCCCAGAUCCCUGCGGAUCAACCAGAAAGCAGCAGCCCCGCUGCAAACUACGUCGUCGCUUCGUUCCCCAUCUUCCCAGCUGCUGGAGAUCCAUCUGUUUGACAUGAAUCUGGGCUUGGGCAUCGACUUGGCUCGAUGGAUCUCAAUUCGGCACGGUUUCUGGAGAAGCAGGGGGACAUCGACUUGGCUCAAUGGGCAUCGACUGGACGACGGCCUUCGUCGGAGAAACAGUCGGGCAUCUCCGAGAGACGUCGUCGACCCUGUUCUGCAGUGUGGUGGCAAAGGGCUGUUGCUUUUUGUUGAUUCCUGGCCGCCCAAUCUUCAUUUGGACGGUCGGGAUCGGUUGAUCCUCAGGAUCGGGACGGUUAAGAUCCGGAGAGGACCUUAACCCCAGAAAGAAAUAGUGCAGAGUGGUAGAAACAUUGAAAGAUUAUGCCAUUAAAGCGCACGUGAAUACGGUGGAUCAUUUGGGUUUUUUUUUUGUUUUUUUUUUUUUUUUUGUCAAUAGGAAUUCCAUUAACAAAGCAACAUGAGGAAGAAAAUACAAAGAGACUCCUUAAGGGAGAAGAUAAGCACAGCUCUGUAUUGCCAACGAUGCAGCCGCAUGAGUUGUUUUGUUUGCAGACCUAGGAAUCUAAUUCCAAUGAAGAGAAGAGAACAAGAAAGCAUGUCUCCCUACUUCUUCCACUA